rfam:Pseudomonas balearica DSM 6083 genome assembly, contig: Ga0056079_103
GCGGACGUGGUGAAAUUGGUAGACACACCAGAUUUAGGUUCUGGCGCCGCAAGGUGUGAGAGUUCGAGUCUCUCCGUCCGCA